GCAGAGAUGGUGUAAUGGCAGCAUCGGGGUCUCCAAAGCCUUUGGUUCGGGUACCCUGCGGGAAGCAAGCUACAAAUCCUGAUCUCUGCG
rnacentral:tRNA from 2 species